GUUAGGGAAGGGAGGGAAAAGGUGCAGUAAAUGAAGAAAUUGAAAAGGUGCAGUUAGGGAAGGGAGGGAAAUGGUGCAGUAAAUGAAGAAAUGGAAAAGGUGCAGUAAAUAAGGAAAUGGAAAAGGUGCAGGUAGGGAAGGGAGGUAAAGGUGCAGUUAGGGAAGAAAUGGAAAAGGUGCAGUUAGGGAAGGGAGGGAAAAGGUGCAGUAAAUGAAGAAAUGGAAAAGGUGCAGUAAAUAAGGAAAUUGAAAAGGUGCAGGUAGGGAAGGGAGGGUAAAGGUGCAGUUAGGGAAGAAAUGGAAAAGGUGCAGUUAAGGAAGGGAGGGAAAUGGUGCAGUAAAUGAGGAAAUGGAAAAGGUGCAGUAAAUAAGGAAAUGGAAAAGGUGCAGGUAGGGAAGGGAGGUAAAGGUGCAGUUAGGGAAGAAAUGGAAAAGGUGCAGUUAGGGAAGGGACGGAAAAGGUGCAGUAAAUAAAGAAAUGGAAAAGGUGCAGUUAGGGAAGGGAGGGAAAAGGUGCAGUAAAUGAAGAAAUGGAAAAGGUGCAGUUAGGGAAGGGAGGGAAAAGGUGCAGUAAAUGAAGAAAUGGAAAAGGUGCAGUUAGGGAAGGGAGGGAAAAGGUGCAGUAAAUGAAGAAAUGGAAAAGGUGCAGUUAGGGAAGAAAGGGAAAAGGUGCAGUUAGGGAAGGGAGGGAAAAGGUGCAGUAAAUGAAGAAAGGGAAAAGGUGCAGUUAGGGAAGGGAGGGAAAAGGUGCAGUUAGGGAAGGGAGGGAAAAGGUGCAGUAAAUGAAGAAAUGGAAAAGGUGCAGUUAGGGAAGGGAGGGAAAAGGUGCAGUAAAUGAAGAAAUGGAAAAGGUGCAGUUAGGGAAGGGAGGGAAAAGGUGCAGUAAAUGAAGAAAUGGAAAAGGUGCAGUUAGGGAAGGGAGGGAAAAGGUGCAGUAAAUGAAGAAAUGGAAAAGGUGCAGUUAGGGAAGGGAGGGAAAAGGUGCAGUAAAUGAAGAAAUGGAAAAGGUGCAGUUAGGGAAGGGAGGGAAAUGGUGCAGUAAAUGAAGAAAUGUAAAAGGUGCAGUAAAUAAGGAAAUGGAAAUGGUGCAGGUAGGGAAGGGAGGGUAAAGGUGCAGUUAGGGAAGAAAUGGAAAAGAUGCAGUUAGGGAAGGGAGGGAAAAGGUGCAGUAAAUGAAGAAAUGGAAAAGGUGUCAGUUAGGGAAGGGAGGGAAAAGGUGCAGUUAGGGAAAGGAGGGAAAAGGUGCGGUUAGGGAAGGGAGGGAAAAGGUGCAGUAAAUGAAGAAAUGGAAAAGUUGCAGUUAGGG